rnacentral:rRNA from 1 species
AUUGAACGCUGGCGGCAGGCCUAACACAUGCAAGUCGAGCGGAUGAAGGGAGCUUGCUCCUGGAUUCAGCGGCGGACGGGUGAGUAAUGCCUAGGAAUCUGCCUGGUAGUGGGGGAUAACGUCCGGAAACGGGCGCUAAUACCGCAUACGUCCUGAGGGAGAAAGUGGGGGAUCUUCGGACCUCACGCUAUCAGAUGAGCCUAGGUCGGAUUAGCUAGUUGGUGGGGUAAAGGCCUACCAAGGCGACGAUCCGUAACUGGUCUGAGAGGAUGAUCAGUCACACUGGAACUGAGGCACGGUCCAGACUCCUACGGGAGGCAGCAGUGGGGAAUAUUGGACAAUGGGCGAAAGCCUAAUCCAGCCAUGCCGCGUGUGUGAAGAAGGUCUUCGGAUUGUAAAGCACUUUAAGUUGGGAGGAAGGGCAGUAAGUUAAUACCUUGCUGUUUUGACGUUACCAACAGAAUAAGCACCGGCUAACUUCGUG